rnacentral:rRNA from 1 species
UACGGAGGGAGCUAGCGUUGUUCGGAAUUACUGGGCGUAAAGCGCACGUAGGCGGCGAUUCAAGUCAGAGGUGAAAGCCCGGGGCUCAACCCCGGAACUGCCUUUGAAACUAGAUUGCUAGAAUCCUGGAGAGGCGAGUGGAAUCCCGAGUGUAGAGGUGAAAUUCGUAGAUAUUCGGAAGAACACCAGUGGCGAAGGCGACUCGCUGGACAGGUAUUGACGCUGAGGUGCGAAAGCGUGGGGAGCAAACAGG